CGGCGCGAGGAGCGGCGCUUUGUGUGCCCGCGGCCGCGGCCGCAGCGCGGCAUUGUCUGCGGGAUCCGCCGGCGGUGCCGGGCUUUGUGCGGGUGAUUCCCCUUUCUGCAAGAAUUCCCUGUCUCCGGGCUCCGUGCAUGCAGCAAAUGCGUUAUGGAGACGAGCGGAGCCCCCUCGCCUUAAAGAAAAGUAGAAAGGGAGCAAAACGGAGGGAUCCGAGCAUGCAGAAAGGAAAGACGAGACUCACGGCCGCUGGC
ensembl:lncRNA